GAAGAAGGCCGUUCGGGUACGUAAAGCUCUGUUGGACGGGGGAAAAAAGGCAGCAUCAGGAAAUGGGUGCUGACUGAUGGUCGCCCCCGCCAGAAAGUCACGGCUAACUACGUGCC
rnacentral:rRNA from 1 species